AGAAAAGCCAAGCGAUCAUAUUACGAGAGUAAAUUUGAAAGUGCUAAAAGCGAUUUGAAGUUGACAUGGAAACUGAUAAACGAAGUAAUUAACAAACGGAACAACAAGCCCUCUAUCCCGACGAGAUUCAUAUCAGACAAUGAAACGUUAACAGAUCCCACAAAAAUUGCCGAAAGAUUUUGUAGUUUCUUCACCAACGUCGGUCCUACACUCGCAAAAAAAAUACCUCCAGUAGACGUUUCGUUUCGUUCAUUUCGGAUUGGAAAUAAUAAUGCACCUAUAAUUAUAAAACCUACUGACGUUAAUGAACUUCGG